UUGAGGGAAAAAUAUUUUAGGAUGAUUUUGGGGAAGAAUUUGGGGAAUUUUCUGGUGGAAGGAUUUUGGGCAUUUUUGCAGGUGGAGCUCAUCUUCAACACCUCCAGGAUAGCAUUCAAGUUGGACAGCCUGUUGAUCCUCCUGCGCACACUGCAGAUUAUGAGGUGCAUGAGAUGCACGAUGCACCAGAUGUUAUGACAGAGACUGGAGGAUACCCUGGAGAGUCCUCGCAUGCUAGAGGCGAGGAGGCACCUUCAUCAUACAUUGAUGAUGUAGUGUUGAUGACAGAGGAGGAGUUGACACAGAUCCAGGAGGGCACCUUGAUGGCCAUUUAAUUUGGCCUUGAUAGCUUUACGGGCACAAGUAGCAUGAGUGUGGGGCUAUGUGAUUCAGGAUCUGAUAGUGUAGUUGGAGACAAGGGAAAGGUUGUGUAUGAAAAUAUUGAAAACAUACCUCCUCUACCGAAGACAUACAUCAAGAGUCCUCCAAAGCCGAAGAGAAAACAUGGAGAUGAGGAUCCUUUUGAGUCGAGCAGUGCGGCGAAGAGGAUCGAUUUUGAUGAUCCAUCAGUAGCUUAGGAUGUUAUAGAUAGUUUUGGGAUGCUUACAUGUCUAGUUGGCAUGUAUAUUUUGUAUAUGGACAUACAUUUUGUUUGAGUUGGCGUUUAUGCCAUA